rnacentral:rRNA from 1 species
CACUCCUACGGGAGGCAGCAGUGGGGAAUUUUGGACAAUGGGCGAAAGCCUGAUCCAGCAAUGCCGCGUGAGUGAAGAAGGCCUUCGGGUUGUAAAGCUCUUUUGUCAGGGAAGAAACGGUGAAAGCUAAUAUCUUUUGCUAAUGACGGUACCUGAAGAAUAAGCACCGGCUAACUACGUGCCAGCAGCCGCGGUAAUACGUAGGGUGCAAGCGUUAAUCGGAAUUACUGGGCGUAAAGCGUGCGCAGGCGGUUUUGUAAGUCUGAUGUGAAAUCCCCGGGCUCAACCUGGGAAUUGCAUUGGAGACUGCAAGGCUGGAAUCUGGAAGAGGGAGGUGGAAUUCCACGUGUAGCGGUGAAAUGCGUAGAUAUGUGGAGGAACACCGAUGGCGAAGGCAGCCCCCUGGGUCAAGAUUGACGCUCAUGCACGAAAGCGUGGGGAGCAAACAGGAUUAGAAACCCUUGUAGUCCCAU